rnacentral:rRNA from 1 species
GAUGAACGCUGGCGGCGUGCCUAAUACAUGCAAGUCGAGCGAACAGACGAGGAGCUUGCUCCUCUGACGUUAGCGGCGGACGGGUGAGUAACACGUGGAUAACCUACCUAUAAGACUGGGAUCACUUCGGGAAACCGGAGCUAAUACCUGCUAAUAUAUUGAACCGCAUGGUUCAAUAGUGAACGACGGCUUUGCUGUCACUUAUAGAUGGAUCCGCGCCGCAUUAGCUAGUUGGUAAGGUAACGGCUUACCAAGGCAACGAUGCGUAGCCGACCUGAGAGGGUGAUCGGCCACACUGGAACUGAGACACGGUCCAGACUCCUACGGGAGGCAGCAGUGGGGAAUUUUCCGCAAUGGGCGAAAGCCUGACGGAGCAACGCCGCGUGAGUGAUGAAGGUCUUCGGAUCGUAAAACUCUGUUAUUAGGGAAGAACAAAUGUGUAAGUAACUAUGCACGUCUUGACGGUACCUAAUCAGAAAGCCACGGCUAACUACGUG